GACGAACGCUGGCGGCGUGCUUAACACAUGCAAGUCGAACGGAAAGGCCCUGCUUUUGUGGGGUGCUCGAGUGGCGAACGGGUGAGUAACACGUGAGUAACCUGCCCUUGACUUUGGGAUAACUUCAGGAAACUGGGGCUAAUACCGGAUAGGAGCUCCUGCUGCAUGGUGGGGGUUGGAAAGUUUCGGCGGUUGGGGAUGGACUCGCGGCUUAUCAGCUUGUUGGUUGGGUAGUGGCUUACCAAGGCUUUGACGGGUAGCCGGCCUGAGAGGGUGACCGGCCACAUUGGGACUGAGAUACGGCCCAGACUCCUACGGGAGGCAGCAGUGGGGAAUAGUGCACAAUGGGCUGAAGCCUGAUGCAGCAAAGCCGCGUGCGGGAUGACGGCCUUCGGGUUGUAAACCGCUUUCGCCUGUGACGAAGCGUGAGUGACGGUAAUGGGUAAAGAAGCACCGGCUAACUACGUG
rnacentral:rRNA from 1 species